rnacentral:rRNA from 1 species
UACGUAGGGGGCGAGCGUUGUCCGGAUUUAUUGGGCGUAAAGAGCGUGUAGGCGGCCAGGUAGGUCUGCUGUGAAAACUCGAGGCUCAACCUCGAGACGUCGGCGGAAACCAUCUGGCUAGAGUCCGGAAGAGGAGAGUGGAAUUCCUGGUGUAGCGGUGAAAUGCGUAGAGAUCAGGAAGAACAUCGGUGGCGAAGGCGCUCUGCUGGACCAUAACUGACACUCAGGGACGAAAGCUAGGGGAGCGAAUGGG